UUCACAAACAUUGAAGCCGCCCAAGUAAUAUCAUCGGCGUUUAAAUCGUCGAUGGAGAUUCCAUUGUUUCAAUAGAGUCAGAUAUCAAAGCAUCCUGAAUGGAUGCCUCAAAUCAAUGCAUGGUUUAACAGGUUUGAGUACAAAUUCUGCCGGGACAGUGAGCAUAACACUGUUGUGAGGAGGGUGUGGGAAAAUCACGCGGCAACUAGGUUGCGUGAUUUUUGGUAUGAAGCA